rnacentral:rRNA from 1 species
AAUCCAUAGGUUAAUGAGGCGAACCGGGGGAACUGAAACAUCUAAGUACCCCGAGGAAAAGAAAUCAACCGAGAUUCCCCCAGUAGCGGCGAGCGAACGGGGAGGAGCCCAGAGCCUGAAUCAGCAUGUGUGUUAGUGGAAGCGUCUGGAAAGGCGCGCGAUACAGGGUGAGAGCCCCGUACACAAAAGCGCACGUGCUGUGAGCUCGAUGAGUAGGGCGGGACACGUGGUAUCCUGUCUGAAUAUGGGGGGACCAUCCUCCAAGGCUAAAUACUCCUGACUGACCGAUAGUGAACCAGUACCGUGAGGGAAAGGCGAAAAGAACCCCGGCGAGGGGAGUGAAACAGAACCUGAAACCGUGUACGUACAAGCAGUGGGAGCCCCACCACUAAGCCAGUGGUGAACUCCACAUACGCAUCCUUUGCUGAGGAUGCGGUUAACGGAGCGAAAGCGACGUUCAACCGCAAAAGAAGCAGAGGGGGCUUAGUGGUGGGGUGACUGCGUACCUUUUGUAUAAUGGGUCAGCGACUUAUAUUCUGUAGCAAGGUUAACCGCAUAGGGGAGCCGGAGGGAAACCGAGUCUUAAC